rnacentral:rRNA from 1 species
GUCAUAUGCUUGUCUCAAAGAUUAAGCCAUGCAUGUCUCAGUACAAGCCAAAUUAAGGUGAAACCGCGAAAGGCUCAUUAAAUCAGUUAUGGUUCCUUAGAUCGUACCCACAAUUACUUGGAUAACUGUGGUAAUUCUAGAGCUAAUACAUGCAAACAGAGCUCCGACCGGAGACGGAAGGAGUGCUUUUAUUAGAUCAAAACCAAUCGGUGGCGGGUUCGCUCGUCAUCGUACAACUUGGUGACUCUGAAUAACUUUAUGCUGAUCGCACGGUCAUCGCACCGGCGACGCAUCUUUCAAAUGUCUGCCUUAUCAACUGUCGAUGGUAGGUUCUGCGCCUACCAUGGUUGUAACGGGUAACGGGGAAUCAGGGUUCGAUUCCGGAGAGGGAGCCUGAGAAACGGCUACCACAUCCAAGGAAGGCAGCAGGCGCGCAAAUUACCCACUCCCGGCACGGGGAGGUAGUGACGAAAAAUAACGAUACGGGACUCAUCCGAGGCCCCGUAAUCGGAAUGAGUACACUCUAAACCCUUUAACGAGGAUCAAUUGGAGGGCAAGUCUGGUGCCAGCAGCCGCGG